UACGUAGGGGGCAAGCGUUGUCCGGAAUUAUUGGGCGUAAAGAGCGCGUAGGCGGUCCGAUAAGUCGGCUGUGAAAGUCAGGGGCUCAACCCUUGGAAGCCGGCCGAUACUGUCGGACUAGAGUCCGGAAGAGGAGAGUGGAAUUCCUGGUGUAGCGGUGAAAUGCGCAGAUAUCAGGAAGAACACCCGUGGCGAAGGCGGCUCUCUGGGACGGUACUGACGCUGAGACGCGAAAGCGUGGGGAGCGAACAGG
rnacentral:rRNA from 1 species